ensembl:misc_RNA Metazoa_SRP Metazoan signal recognition particle RNA
GCUGGGCAUGGUGGCUCGUGCCUAUAGUCCCAGCUACUUGGGAGGCUGAGGCUGGAGGAUUAGAUGGCUUGAGCCCAGGAGUUCUGGGCUGUAGUGUGCUAUGCCGAUUGGGUGUCUGCACUAAGUCUGGCAUCAAUAUGGUGAACUCCAGGGAGUGGGGGACCACCAGGUUGCCUAGGGAGGGAUGAACUGGCCCAGGUCAGAAAUGGAGCAGGUCAAAACUCUCAUGCUGAUCAGUAGUGGGAUGGCACCUGUGAAUAGCCAUUGCACUCCAGCCUGGGCAAGAUACUGAGACCCAGUCUCUU